CUUUAGUUUGAAACCCCGAAACCAGGUGAGCUACCCCGAGACAGCCUAUUAAAAUAGGGCUAACCCGUCUCUGUGGCAAAAGAGUGGGAAGAGCUCCGGGUAGAAGUGACAGACCUACCGAACCUGGUGAUAGCUGGUUGCCUGAGAGAUGGAUAAAAGUUCAGCCUCGCACACCCCCAAGUCAGAAAUCCUUAUUUAAGACGAUGGGAGAAGUACGAAAGUUAGUUAAGGGGGGUACAGCCCCUUUAACAAAGGAUACAACCUUAACAGGAGGAUAAAGAUCAAAAUACAAAAAACACCCUGUUCUAGUGGGCCUAAAAGCAGCCACCUAAACAGAAAGCGUUAAAGCUCAGACAGAAGAAAGUUUAUUAUACCGAUAACAAAUCUUACUCCCCUAGUAAUAUCAGGCUAUCCCAUGCCCCCAUGGGAGAAAUUAUGCUAAAAUGAGUAACAAGAAGACUUGCUCUUCUCCGAGCACAAGUGUAAGCCAGAUCGGACAAACCACUGGAAUCUAACGAACCCAAUUAACAGAGGGUAGUGUAGACAACAUAAAAACCAAGAAGAGCCUACAGCUCAGACAUCGUUAACCCCACACUGGAGUGCUAUAUUUAAAGGAAAGACUAAAAGAAGGGGAAGGAACUCGGCAAACACAAGCCUCGCCUGUUUACCAAAAACAUCGCCUCCUGCAACUGUAUAAGUAUAGGAGGUCCAGCCUGCCCAGUGACUAUGGGUUCAACGGCCGCGGUAUUUUGACCGUGCAAAGGUAGCGCAAUCACUUGUCUUUUAAAUAGAGACCUGUAUGAAUGGCCAAACGAGGGCUUAACUGUCUCCCCCUUCCAGUCAGUGAAAUUGAUCUAUCCGUGCAGAAGCGGGUAUAAAUAUACAAGACGAGAAGACCCUUUGGAGCUUAAGGUACAAAGUCCAACCAUGUUAAACGACUUAUUAAAGAACAAGAACUUAAUGGAAAAUGGACACUUACCUUCGGUUGGGGCGACCGCGGAGGAAAAAAUAGCCUCCGAGUGGAAUGGGGAAAACCCCUAAAACUAAGAGAGACAUCUCUAAGCCACAGAAUAUCUGACCAAAAAUGAUCCGGCACACAGUCGAUCAACGAACCAAGUUACCCUAGGGAUAACAGCGCAAUCCUCUCCCAGAGUCCAUAUCGACGAGGGGGUUUACGACCUCGAUGUUGGAUCAGGACAUCCUAAUGGUGCAGCCG
rnacentral:rRNA from 1 species